AUGGAGAUGGGAGAGAGCUCGAGAUCAAGUGCCGCCACACGGAGUUUGCCGCUGCCGAUCUUGUCGCCCUCUGCGGGAGGAGCCCGUCGCGGCGGCGAGGAGGAAAGAGAGGCCAGGAGGGAGCCCGUCAUGGCGGCAGGGAGGGACGCGCGUUGGCGGCCGAAGGAGAGGAGGCGUCGGCCGUGGAGGAAGCCGUACGUCCAGAUCCAGUAUGACGAUGACGACUGGGGAGGGAGCUACUUCGAUCCGUGCCGACUGUGCCAACUGAAGAAGGAGAGGAGGUGGAGGCCUGGGAGGAAGUUGCCUCGAUCCGCUGCCUGGAAUCCGGAAGAGAGAAGGGAGAGGCGGCACAGCCGGGGAGGGGAGAGGACCGGCGCUGGCGUUGAAAGAGAUUCCGUCGCCGACGGUGGUUCUUGGUUCGGUGGGAUAUUCCAUGGGAAGAGGGAUGGGUGAGAUAGGCUGA
rnacentral:lncRNA from 1 species